rnacentral:rRNA from 1 species
AUUGAACGCUGGCGGCAUGCCUUACACAUGCAAGUCGGACGGCAGCGGGGGAGAAGCUUGCUUUUCCUGCCGGCGAGUGGCGAACGGGUGAGUAAUACAUCGGAACGUGCCCUGUAGUGGGGGAUAACUAGUCGAAAGAUUAGCUAAUACCGCAUACGACCUGAGGGUGAAAGUGGGGGACCGCAAGGCCUCAUGCUAUAGGAGCGGCCGAUGUCUGAUUGGCUAGUUGGUGGGGUAAAGGCCUACCAAGGCGACGAUCAGUAGCUGGUCUGAGAGGACGAUCAGCCACACUGGGACUGAGACACGGCUCAGACUCCUACGGGAGGCAGCAGUGGGGAAUUUUGGACAAUGGGCGAAAGCCUGAUCCAGCAAUGCCGCGUGUGUGAAGAAGGCCUUCGGGUUGUAAAGCACUUUUGUCCGGAAAGAAAUGGCUCUGGUUAAUACCUGGGGUCGAUGACGGUACCGGAAGAAUAAGGACCGGCUAACUACGUGCCAGCAGCCGCAGUAA